GAAUGAUCUACCCUUGCAUGUUAGGCAGGCCUCUUCUCUCUCUGAAUUUAAAAGUCGUCUUAAAACAUAUUUAUUCGCUGAAGCCUUUGGCAUUGAUUAGAGGGGUUGACUCAAUUUGUUUUGACAUGUUUCAAUUUAUUUUAGUUUUUUAGUUAUUUAUUUUAUUUUAUCUUAUCUCAUUUUAAUUUUCUUUACUUAUGCUUUUAGCAUGUACAGCACUUUGUGAACUCUGGUUUUAUGUUAAAGUGCUUUAUAAAUAAAGGUGGUAUGGUAUGGUAUGGUAUUAGUUUAUUGGCAAGUGGAUUUGUGGUAUAUCCAUGACUUUCAUCUCAGCAAAAACUACAAAAUUCCUGCGUAGACUUGCAACAACUCAGUUAUGUGACUUAAUUUGCUAAGAGAGAAGUGAAAAACAGAAAAUGAAAUUUUGAAUAAAAAUCUGCACAUAUGACAAAUGAAGACAUUAGACAUAUUUUACUUGAUUUUCUCUUAUUGAUCUUCAUUUUCAGUCAGCACAAUGACUCAUUCAUUCACACUUCAAUCCACCGCACAGGACACAUCUUCCACAAGGACUACGUUUAGCAUACCUACAAAGACAACGUUCAUUCCCACAAAACCUGUGUGGUUAUCACAACAAACAUAGUGGCAUUUUGUCAGGGUACUGGGUCUGUGACCCAGUGUUUUGUGUUUGUUGGUUAAUUUAUAUUCCUUCAUUAAUGUUAUUCAAGGUUUGGGGUCUUUUUAAUGUUUUUUGCUCAUGUUUAUUUGUAGUUCCUAGGAUUUAGGUUUCUGUUACUUUGCCUUUCCUGUGUUCCACGUCUAGUCACUCUUGUCUCCAUGUUCCCUCUGUCUCCCCAGUCAGUCAUGUCUCUGUGUCACGUCUGUCUUUGUGAUUGUCACCUGUUUUAUUUUGAUAGUCUCUGUCCUGUGUGCAGUGCAUCUAGUUUUGCUUCCUCUUGUCUCAUUAUGUCUGAUUAGUCCCAGCUGUGUUUCCCUCCUGUUUCCCAUUCCCUCGUUACUCCCUUUUGUAUUUAAGCCCUGUGUUUUCCUUUGCCCUUUGUUGUGUCAUACCGCCUUAUGUGCUUUAAGUCUCUUCAUGGUUCUGGUUUCUAGCUUUGUUCUGUACUACUUUCCUGGUGUUUUUUGUUCUUAGUUUCUUACUCAGGGUUUUGGGUUGUUUUGGGUUUUUUUAGGUUUUUUUUAUGGAGAAGUUUUCCCAGCGAAUAAAGCUGCCGUUCUAAGUUUACCUUUUUCGUGUUGAGUCCUGUAUUUGGACCCACUUCCUGCCUGCCACAGCACAGCCAAAAUGUAACAAUAGCAAAAGACGCCAGCAGGUGUCUCUGUGGAGAAGGGUUCGAAAACGAAAACUCUAUAUCAGGGGUGUCAAACUUAAAUACACAGUGGGCCAAAAUUCAAAACUGGAACAAAGUCGCGGGCUAACAUUAAUAUUUAUUGAAGAUCUAGAUAAAAGAAUGAAUCUUUUCUUAUUGACUCAAACAAGUUUUGCUGAAAAACUGAAUAUGGAACAAGCAAAGCUUAAUACUAAACAAUAUAUAUAUUAGCUGUAUAAUACCAGUAGGCCAGCUCUAAUAGUAAUUUGGUAUUGGCUUCGCGGGCCAAAUGCAAUUAGGCUGCGGGCCAAAUUUGGCCCGCGGGCCAGAGUUUGACACCUAUGCUCUAUAUGAUUCACGCAUAAUCCUGAACAUUUCUGGGUUUCACAAAGCCUUCACUAAUAUUAACUGGCAGCAAUAGGGUUAAUGAUUAAGGGUUAAUUUGGCUAUCC
ensembl:lncRNA